UCUUACAGCAAGACUAAGAUAUAAACCUAACCAGGAUGGGUUUAAGACAGACCAGGAUGAGUCCUGGCAUCACAGUUGACCCCAAAAUCCGUGAACAUGACAACUAACAAAUUUUAACUCACACAAUGCAACUCACCUUGCAGCUCAGAGGCAUAGCAAAAUCGAUGGCUGUGCUUUGCGCUGCCUUUGGAUUCUGCAUCUGUUCCACACCUGAAACCUGGAAGCUACCCUGGGAGCUUCCCCUGAAGAAUGCUGGACACACCAGCAAAACUGUCCCGAUUUAAUGGAUACCUGGUGUUUUCUACUUAAAAGAUUAUGGAAACCGUGUGAGGUGGGAGUUGUCCCCCCCCCCUUCAAACACUGGACAGCAUUAAGUUAUAACUCCAUGCUUUGCAGGGCCCUGGACUCAACCUGUAUCGAAAAUCAAAAUCAGAAUCAAAAUUCUCCAACCUCACUUUCCUCCCUAUUUAAAAGACUAAAAUUGAAUCCAGGCUCCAACUCGAGGAUGGGAAAAUCGCUUUCAACUCACUACACCUCCGUGUCUCAUUAUGCAAUCUGGAAUAGGCACUACUGAAAGGGACAGCAGGGUUUAGACCAGUCCAGCCCCAACCCAGGGAAAGGGAAAAGAAUCAGCUGGAGUCCGGAACCCGACAGGUGCGUCCGCAGCGUCGACGCCUGACGUCACCGCGUUGACGUGAACGGCCUUUCAGCAGCCAGCAGACCCCAACACCUUCCCGGACCGCACUAAGAGUCACAUCGGCGCUUAUUGGACAACGUGAAAGCGGUGGGCGGGGCGGGGCGACCGGUGGACUCCGUAGGGCCGCGUUGGGUGUAAUCGCUUCCCUGGCGAUUAACUCACGUCACUCCCGCUCUACUGUUUGACCCUCUGUUGACCUCGCGAAAGUACUGGCGGGGACCCGGUGGGGGGGUAGGGGCGUGUCCUAGCCAAGCCGCAGGCGCGCGGCUUCCCAGCUGUCACCGCGAGGCUCCAUCAUCUAGAGCAGCAGGUGCAGCGCCGCGGGCUUCCGCUCCAAGAAAAUGGAAUGAAAAAGCUGCGGUCACGAGCGCUUUCUCCAAAAAGCUUAGAUUACGUAAAGUAGGAACGAAUUUAAACCGGCAUCUCCAAUAGAGUUCCUCUUUUAGAUCUGGCGGUCAGAGAAAGCAGAGCAGGCCACCAGGUUCCAGAUGCUACCAUGAUGCCAGCCUUAUUUUUCUGGGCAGAUGACCCAAAUAUGUGUCUUGGAGCCCUGCCUCCCCAGAUCCCUGUCCCACUAGGGAAAGAGAGAGAGAGGCUGAGAGUAUGGAUGGAAGGGUCAACGCCCAUGUUCAGCGGGGAAGCAAUUACAGAAGCCAGACCUCCAACCUUCUGCACCCCAUAACGACCCUGGGUCCAUCCUCCCAGAGGGAUAAAGAAUAGGAAUGCUAUCAGGGGAGGGGACUGGAUACGGUGUUGUGGUGGUGAGAAUUGUGUGGAAUUGUACCCCUCUUAUCCUAUGGUCUUGUCAAUAUUUCCAUUUUAGAAAUAAAAAAAUUAUUUGUUCAACAA